UAGUGUGACAGCAAUAUGAGCUGCUCUCAGAAGACCUGAUGUGAUGUAGCGUGCGACUGGUUCAUGUGAUUUGGGUUUUGUUGAUUUCUUUUCCCAAUUUUGUCGAAUCCGAUCGAUAAAUUCUUCCAUCAUGUUUGAAAGCAGUAGCUCAGGAUUGUCUAAAUUCAGAUUGUCUCCGUGACAUCUCUUAAACACUAUUAGCGAGUUAUUAAAAGACAAAUCAGAGAAGUUUCUGUAAAAUAUAGGAGCGAAAAAAAAAGUGAGAGGGGCGCGCGUUCAUAUGCUUCGCGUGUUUUACAGGAAAAAGGUGUGUUUUGUGGAAUAUAGUGUCGCGGGGGAAAGACGAGCCGCGCGGACUGAGGUCGAACUGUAACUUAUGAAGAAGUUGAGGAAACGCGCCGCACGUUCACUGUAGAAGGGAGGGGGAAAAGGUCCCUUUGGCAAGUAAAAUGCGUUUUUCAGACGAGUUCUUCGCGAGCAGGACGCAGCACAAAGGAUAUUGUGUGUUGGUGAGAACGUAUUACGUGGGAAAUGAGAGUUUGACGAGCAGAAGGAAUCACUGAGGCGAUGUGAAGCGCUUCUCUCAGCCACACUGUUACUGAGGUCCUCUGUCAGCCAAUCCAGUCCCGGCAUUCCCUUUCCCAGCCA
rnacentral:lncRNA from 1 species